AUUGAACGCUGGCGGCAGGCCUACCACAUGCAAGUCGACCGAGUGGCGGACGGGUGAGUAAUGUCUGGGAAACUGCCUGAUGGAGGGGGAUAACUACUGGAAACGGUAGCUAAUAACGCAUACCCUCGGAUGUGCCCAGAUGGGAUUAGCUAGUAGGGGGGGAAAAGGCUCACCUAGGCGACGAGCCCGAGAUGGUCUGAGAGGAUGACCAGUCAAACUGGAACUGAGACAAGGUCCAGACUCCGACGGUAGGCAGCAGGGGGGAAUAUUGAACAAUGGGCGCAAGCCUGAUGCAGCCAGGCCGCGUGUAUGAAGAAGGCCUUCGGGUUUUAAAGUACUUUCAGCGGGGAGGCGUUACCCGCAGAAGAAGCACCGGCUAACUCCGGGCCAGCCGCCGCGGUAAUAC
rnacentral:rRNA from 1 species